GGGCUGAUGGUGUAGGGGUAUCACGUUUGCUUUGCAUGCAAAAGGUCCGGGGUUCGAAUCCCCGUCAGUCCA